UGAGGAAUAUUGGUCAAUGGUCGGGAGACUGAACCAGCCAAGCCGCGUGAGGGAGGAAGGUACAGAGUAUCGUAAACCUCUUUUGUCAGGGAACAAAGGCGGGGACGUGUCCCCCGGAUGAGUGUACCUGAAGAAAAAGCAUCGGCUAACUCCGUGCC
rnacentral:rRNA from 1 species